UAACCAUACAGUUUUCAGUGCGAGCGUUGUGGCCGAGGAUCGAGGUAAGAGCCAGCAGCCUAGCUAGUGGACACCCGAGUUGUAGUGGUUACCAGUUUGAGUUCAUGUAUCAUCUAUUUCGGUGUACAGAGACAUGUAAAUGAAUGUAAUAAGUGCAUGCAAAUAACUAAAUGUUUCAGUUAUGCAAGUUAGUUUAAAGUUUUAAAUUACAGUGAAAUUUCAUGUUUAGCUAGCUUUACUAUCACUUGUGUUUGUUGCUUGCCAUCGUGCAAGCCAUGUAUAUUGAAAUGUGAUCCUGG
rnacentral:lncRNA from 1 species